rnacentral:rRNA from 1 species
GAGUUUGAACCUGGCUCAGGAUGAACGCUGGCGGCGUGCCUAACACAUGCAAGUCGAACGAAGCAUGCCGGAGGAAGUUUUCGGAUGGAAUCCGGGAUGACUGAGUGGCGGACGGGUGAGUAACGCGUGGGUAACCUGCCCUGUACAGGGGGACAACAGUUAGAAAUGACUGCUAAUACCGCAUAAGCGCACAGGACCGCAUGGUCCGGUGUGAAAAACUCCGGUGGUACAGGAUGGACCCGCGUCUGAUUAGGUAGUUGGCGGAGUAACGGCCCACCAAGCCGACGAUCAGUAGCCGACCUGAGAGGGUGACCGGCCACAUUGGGACUGAGACACGGCCCAAACUCCUACGGGAGGCAGCAGUGGGGAAUAUUGCACAAUGGGGGAAACCCUGAUGCAGCGACGCCGCGUGAGUGAAGAAGUAUUUCGGUAUGUAAAGCUCUAUCAGCAGGGAAGAAAGUGACGGUACCUGACUAAGAAGCCC